GCAUUAGCCUCCCCGGCGGCGGCGGCGGUUGGCCGAGUCUCCGGAGCCGGAAGAUUCGGCCACUUCAGGCCGGCGGCCCAACACUUCGUGGGCCAUGUCGGCCCAGGGGGACUGUGAGUUCCUAGUGCAGCGAGCCCGGGAGCUGGUGCAGCAGGACCUGUGGGCAGCCAAGGCUUGGCUGAUCACGGCCCGCAGCCUCUACCCCGCCGACUUUAACAUCCAGUAUGAGAUGUACACCAUCGAGCGGAAUGCAGAGCGGACUGCCACCGCCGGGAGACUGCUGUACGACAUGUUUGUGAAUUUCCCGGAUCAGCCAGUGGUGUGGAGAGAAAUCAGCAUUAUUACAUCAGCAUUGAGGAAUGAUUCACAGGAUAAACAAACCCAAUUUUUAAGAAGUUUAUUUGAGACUCUUCCUGGUCGGGUCCAGUGUGAAAUGUUACUAAAGGUUACGGAACAAUGCUUCAACACAUUGGAACGAUCAGAAAUGUUGCUUCUACUUUUGAGACGCUUCCCUGAAACAGUGGUGCAACAUGGGGUUGGCCUUGGGGAGGCACUGUUAGAGGCGGAAACUAUUGAAGAACAAGAAUCUCCUGUUAACUGCUUUAGAAAAUUAUUUGUUUGUGAUGUCCUUCCUCUAAUAAUUAACAACCAUGAUGUUCGAUUGCCUGCCAAUCUAUUAUAUAAGUACUUGAACAAAGCAGCUGAAUUUUAUAUCAAUUAUGUUACUAGGUCUACUCAAAUAGAGAACCAGCAUCAAGGUGCCCAAGAAACAUCUGAUUUAAUGUCGCCUAGCAAACGUAGCUCUCAGAAGUACAUAAUAGAAGGGCUGACUGAAAAAUCAUCCCAGAUUGUGGACCCUUGGGAGAGGUUGUUUAAGAUUUUGAAUGUGGUUGGAAUGAGAUGUGAAUGGCAGAUGGACAAAGGAAGACGAAGCUAUGGUGAUAUUUUGCAUAGAAUGAAGGAUCUCUGCAGAUAUAUGAACAACUUUGAUAAUGAAGCUCAUGCAAAAUAUAAAAACCAAGUGGUUUAUUCCACCAUGUUGGUCUUCUUCAAGAAUGCAUUCCAGUAUGUCAAUAGCAUACAGCCAUCUCUCUUCCAAGGUCCUAAUGCGCCAAGCCAAGUUCCACUGGUUCUUCUUGAGGAUAUAUCAAAUGUGUAUGGUGAUAUAGAAAUUGAUCGUAAUAAACACAUACAUAAAAAGAGGAAGCUAGCUGAGGGAAGAGAAAAGACCAUGAGUUCAGAUGAUGAGGACUGUUCGGCAAAAGGAAGGAAUCGUCACAUUGUCAUCAAUAAAGCAGAACUUACUAACUCAAUUGAAGUGUUAGAAAGCUUCAAAUUGGCCCGGGAGAGCUGGGAGUUGCUCUAUUCCCUAGAAUUCCUUGACAAGGAAUUCACAAGAAUUUGUUUGGCAUGGAAGACGGAUACUUGGCUUUGGUUAAGAAUCUUCCUCACUGAUAUGAUCAUCUAUCAGGGUCAAUAUAAAAAGGCAAUAGCCAGCCUGCAUCAUUUAGCGGCUCUCCAGGGAUCACUUCCUCAGCCCCAGAUCACCGGACAGGGGACCUUGGAGCACCAGAGGGCACUCAUCCAGCUAGCAACGUGCCACUUUGCUCUAGGGGAGUACAGACUGACAUGUGAAAAAGUCCUUGAUUUGAUGUGCUACAUGGUGCUCCCCAUUCAAGAUGGAGGCAAGUCACAGGACGAACCCUCAAAAAUAAAGCCCAAAUUUAGAAAAGGGUCGGACCUGAAGCUUUUGCCGUGCACCAGCAAGGCUGUCAUGCCGUACUGCCUGCAUUUAAUGUUAGCUUGUUUCAAGCUUAGAGCUUUCACGGACAGCAGGGAUGACAUGGCGCUGGGGCAUGUGAUCGUGCUGCUUCAGCAGGAGUGGCCACGGGGAGAGAACCUUUUCUUGAAAGCGGUCAACAAGAUUUGCCAACAAGGAAAUUUCCAAUAUGAGAAUUUUUUCAAUUAUGUUACAAACAUUGAUAUGCUGGAGGAAUUCGCCUACUUAAGAACUCAGGAAGGUGGGAAAAUUCAUCUGGAAUUACUACCCAAUCAAGGAAUGCUGAUCAAACCUUUAUACAUUAGGUUGCUUCAGCAAGAUGGACUGGACAGCUCAUCUUCCCAUCUCCAUUUACUUCCCUAAGACUGUGAAUACAAACUAUGGGAACAAUAAUUGCAGGUUCAAAAUAUUCUUAACAGUGUUUGAGAAGAAAAUUGCUUUUUGACAUGGGAGCCUAGGUAACCCCUUUUGUAUUGUGAUUUCUUUUCUAGGUUUUGAGGCUGGAUAUACAAAUAUACCUUUAAUAGCUUUUAGUUAAUUUCCAUUAAGAGUAACUAUAUAAAUUAUCAUAUAGAACCAACUUCAUUUACUUAGGAUGAAACCUACGGAUGAUUCUCACUUUACUUAGGUAACGCUGAACUGGAAGUGGGAGAGAAUGGAUUGCCAAAAAAUGGACAGUUGAAUCUCAGGUUAUUAUACUGAAACCUUUCUUUUUUAGCCAGUUUUUAUUGAGCUAAGCAGUGACCAGGUUACAUGCAGACAACCCUAGGACAAAGAAUGAAAUCAAGGGACUAUUGGACACCCAGAUAAUAUCACUGUUAAGGGUUGUUUAGGGCAAGGCAUUGAUACACAGAAUGCAUUUCUAGGCUUUGAGGGAUAACUCCAUGCUCCCAUGUUGGUCAUUAUAACCCUUAGUUUCUUCUAACUCCCCUGUAGAAGACCACUAAGCCUCGUAGGAAACCUGCUCUUCCAUCAGCUUGGAGGCAGGAAUUGGCAGUGAGUUAACAUUGUAGGAAUUUGUCCAGUCUUCACUGUGUGUCUCAAGGUUCAUUUGAAACCUGCAUUUCAAAUUACUUAUGCCUAAACUACAGUGGGAGAAGCAAGCUGCGUACGCCAGAGCACUCUUGCUAAUUGAGGUAUGAUUAGAACCUUGAGUAAAACUAUAUUCCUUUUCCCGUUGGGAUGCAAACAAAUUCUCUGAAGCCACUGAAGACCUUUUGGGUGGGCCCUGAAGCCGAGUGGCAGAGAUGUUGUGAACAGUGUACAGCCCCUCCCCUUGGGUAAGGUUGUGAGUCUGUCCUAGUUGUGGCAUCUCGGAUGCAAGCAGGUACAGUACAAACACUGGGGCACCUGGGGCUGCCUGACAUUUUGCUCUUAUGUAUUUUAAAAUAGAGAAAAAUUUCUAUGCUGAUAUUUGUGGUAUCUUAGUUGCAUUAGACUGGAUGAAAAUGGAAAACAGUGUCUUGUGUAUGCUCUGAAUAGGGUGGACAAUAAUAUUCUGUGAGUUGAUCACCCAGCUAAUACACUAAAUCUUUGUUGUUACAGAAUUCUGCAAAGCCAUGUGUCCCAGACUCUUUUUUCCCCCCAUUUUUCCUUUUUUCAGUACUUUUUGCAAUUCAAACUCAACCUUUCUUUAUCAGAAAAAUUGCCAGCCCCUCUAGUCCUCUCGAAAGGGCCUCUUCACUUUGGGGCUUCAAUCCUGUCAAGGAUGGUUACAAAAAGUCACCAGGUUUAUUUCUGGGAUUGGCGUGGGCAUGAGAAGAGUGGAGAGUGAAGGAUGCUGGAUUUGAAAACGUGUCUUCUCAAGUGUUAACCCCUCUCCCCACCGCCAUUCAGUUGCAUCUCAUCGUCCUUCCUCAGUGGUUGCUUUUUAUGCCAAAUCUCAAGCAGGCUGAGCUCGGGGACCAGGAUCCAAGAUGCCUCUGGACAGGCCCCAGCAGCGGGUGCAGUGAGAGGGCUCGCUAGCUUCUCCCCAUCGUCCUGACAGCUGCAGCCAGGGGCCUGUGGAGGUUAAAGCGUUUCUGUAUAGUCUGCUUCCAGUCUUGUGCAUUUUCUCUGGCGUGUUGUUUUUGCAGUGCAGGGUGAGUCGGUGUGGGUGUUUGAAUGCUGCUGUUUGCUGUUUUUUAAAGGCCUUCUAGCCCUCCCAUGGGGUUACUGCAGCAGGAAUUCUUACCUGUGCUUCAGCCCAGCAUACAGACUGCUGACAGGCACCACACGGUCACUCGGGGC